rnacentral:rRNA from 1 species
UACGAAGGGGGCUAGCGUUGCUCGGAAUCACUGGGCGUAAAGCGCACGUAGGCGGAUCUUUAAGUCAGGGGUGAAAUCCUGGAGCUCAACUCCAGAACUGCCUUUGAUACUGGCGAGCUUGAGUCCGGGAGAGGUGAGUGGAACUGCGAGUGUAGAGGUGAAAUUCGUAGAUAUUCGCAAGAACACCAGUGGCGAAGGCGGCUCACUGGCCCGGUACUGACGCUGAGGUGCGAAAGCGUGGGGAGCAAACAGG